UCCCCGUCCUUGAAGCGG
rnacentral:misc_RNA from 1 species